rnacentral:tRNA from 1 species
UCCCUGGUGGCUCAGAGGGUAAAGCGUCUGCCUGCAAUGCAGGAGACCUGGGUUUGAUCCCUGGGUGGGGAA